rnacentral:rRNA from 1 species
CAAGGCUUGACAUAUAGUGAAAAGUGGCAGAGAUGUCAUGUCCGCAAGGGCGCUAUACAGGUGGUGCAUGGUUGUCGUCAGCUCGUGUCGUGAGAUGUUGGGUUAAGUCCCGCAACGAGCGCAACCCUCGUUCUGUGUUACCAGCAUUUAGUUGGGGACUCACAGGAGACUGCCGGGGUCAACUCGGAGGAAGGUGGGGAUGACGUCAAAUCAUCAUGCCCCUUAUGUCUUGGGCUGCACGCAUGCUACAAUGGCCGGUACAAAGUGCUGCGAGAUCGCAAGAUUGAGCGAAUCACAUAAAGCCGGUCUCAGUUCGGAUUGAGGUCUGCAACUCGACCUCAUGAAGUCGGAGUUGCUAGUAAUC